CUGACAUGGUGAAGGCAUAAGUCUCCCCCUUAGCUCCAGAGAGACCUCAGUGAUUACUUGCAUGAAGCUGUUCCACUACCUGCAAGCAGUAUACACUCACCAGCCGGUGAGCUGUAUAGAACUCCACUCCACUGAAAGCUUUGAUCAAUAAGAACCAAUUUGUAUAAAACAUAUUCUGUGGUUUUCUGAGGGUUUUUAGUAUUCCCUGGUUUUCCGCCACCACGCUGUGAAGGCAAGUGUUGUGUACUUUUGCCUUAGUACCGUGCUGUGAGCUCCACCAGUGGAUUUGCUACUGCACAGCCAGCUUCUCCUGCUUGCAACACCUCCUCAUCAGCUGACAGCAGCAGAAACCAGGACCACAAUAUUCCUUAAUUCAGACAAUCAGCAACUGAGAACAAGAAGCCAGCAACAACAAUUAGUUAAAGGUGCAAGAAGAGGUAUGAUAGAGCCACACAGUCUGACAACGAUUACGGUGGGGCAGUUCCAGUUUUGAUGGACUAUAACACACAGUGAAGACUUUGUCCUGA